AGUGUGACCUUAACCUUUCCUCACACUAAGAAGACAAGACCCAAGGACACCAGAGGGUCUAAAAAUGAACUCUUUUCCAGGAUCAGUGAUUGCACUAUUCUUAAUGUUUGGGGGAAUCAAUGGAGAUUCAGUGGUCCAGACAGAAGGCCAAGUGCUCCUCUCUGAAGGGGAUUCCCUGAUUGUGAACUGCUCCUAUGAAAGCACACAGUACCCUUCCCUUUUCUGGUAUGUCCAAUAUCCUGGAGAAGGUCCACAGCUCCUCCUGAAAGCCAUGAAGUUCAAUGACAAGGAAAGCAACAAAGGUUUUGAAGCCACAUACCGUAAAGAAACCACUUCUUUCCACUUGAAGAAAGACUCAGUUCAAGAGUCAGACUCAGCUGUGUACUUCUGUGCUCUGAGUGACACAGUGACAGGGACUGCAGGGGAAGCUGAGCACAAACUCUGA